AAAAUCUUAAUAGCAUUCACUCAUAUAAAAGCGAGAAUAAGGCUCGCAAGUUUCUACCGGUUUGCCGUAAACAAACUGACUAUGAGAGGCAAUGAUAUAGAA
rnacentral:ncRNA from 2 species